CAGCAGUAAGGAAUAUUGGUCAAUGGGCGGAAGCCUGAACCAGCCAUGCCGCGGCAGGAAGACGGCCCUACGGGUUGUAAACUGCUUUUGCACGGGAAUAAACCUCAUACGUGUAAUGAGCUGAAUGUACUGUAAGAAUAAGGAUCGGCUAACUCCGUGCCAGCAGCCGCGGUAAUACGGAGGAUCCAAGCGUUAUCCGGAUUUAUUGGGUUUAAAGGUGCGUAGGCGGCCUGUUAAGUCAGGGGUGAAAGACGGUAGCUUAACUAUCGCAGUGCCCUUGAUACUGAUGGGCUUGAAUGAACUAGAGGUAGGCGGAAUGUGACAAGUAGCGGUGAAAUGCAUAGAUAUGUCACAGAACACCAAUUGCGAAGGCAGCUUACUAUGGUUUGAUUGACGCUGAGGCACGAAAGCGUGGGGAUCAAACAGGAUUAGAUACCCUGGUAGUCCACGCCCUAAACG
rnacentral:rRNA from 1 species